AUAUCAUGGUGGGGGCACUUCCUUAACAGCUGUUUAAAUCUCUCCCAUGCAUCAUACAUCCAUUCCCCUUCAGUCUGGUAGAAAUUAUUAAUCUCCACUCUCAACGU